AUUGAACGCUGGCGGCAUGCUUUACACAUGCAAGUCGAACGGUAACAGCACUUCGGUGGCUGACGAGUGGCGAACGGGUGAGUAAUACAUCGGAACGUGCCUAGUAGUGGGGGAUAACUACUCGAAAGAGUAGCUAAUACCGCAUGAGAUCUAGGGAUGAAAGCAGGGGACCUUCGGGCCUUGCGCUACUAGAGCGGCUGAUGGCAGAUUAGGUAGUUGGUGGGAUAAAAGCUUACCAAGCCGACGAUCUGUAGCUGGUCUGAGAGGACGACCAGCCACACUGGGACUGAGACACGGCCCAGACUCCUACGGGAGGCAGCAGUGGGGAAUUUUGGACAAUGGGCGCAAGCCUGAUCCAGCAAUGCCGCGUGCAGGAUGAAGGCCUUCGGGUUGUAAACUGCUUUUGUACGGAACGAAAAGCCCUCUUCUAAUACAGGAGGGUCAUGACGGUACCGUAAGAAUAAGCACCGGCUAACUACGUG
rnacentral:rRNA from 1 species